GAGCCCUUGAUGCCAACCAGACCUCCUCCCCUGGCUUGAAUGGCCUUACCUGUUGACGGAACCAAUCAGCCUGCCGGGAAUGCUGUUUCUGGGCAUGCAGCAGAGAAGCCCUGGAUCAUCUCCAGUGGGAGGAAACAGGAGCACCUGGAGGAAACCCACACGUACACAGGGAGGAGAAACAAGCUCUUUAUAAAAGUUUGUUGCCUUGCACAUUGGUUAUUUGUCUGACCUGUUUGGAUAUAUUAUUGAUUCCACUGGGUUUCUUGUACUUACUAUGAACGCCCACAAGAAAAUGAAUCUCAGGGCUGUAUAUGGUAACGUAUGUACUUUGUUAAUAAAUUUACAUUGAACUCCUAAUGUCUUUUAAAAGGUGUUUGUAUUCCUGCCCCAACUACUUCAAAUUCAAGUUUAACUGUCAUUCAGCCAUACAGAAUACAGCCAAACAAAACAGCUUGUUCCUCAUAUACACUACCUUCUCAAUGAAGUUGCUCCACCUCACUUUAAAACUAUGUAUACCUAAGACACAGACUAUCUGCAGCAUGCACCCGAGAGCUGAAGAGUUACACUUACAGCAUCUCUGUAGUCCUUCAUAUCCAUUGACAGCAGAGCCAUCCCAACACACUAUCCACUCUCCAGCACGAUCUCCAGCACUGAUCACAUUCAGUCAGCACACUUG